rnacentral:rRNA from 1 species
UACGUCGGGGGCUAGCGUUGUCCGGAAUCACUGGGCGUAAAGGGUGCGUAGGCGGGUCUUUAAGUCAGGGGUGAAAUCCUGGAGCUCAACUCCAGAACUGCCUUUGAUACUGAAGAUCUUGAGUUCGGGAGAGGUGAGUGGAACUGCGAGUGUAGAGGUGAAAUUCGUAGAUAUUCGCAAGAACACCAGUGGCGAAGGCGGCUCACUGGCCCGAUACUGACGCUGAGGCACGAAAGCGUGGGGAGCAAACAGG